UACGUAGGGUGCAAGCGUUAAUCGGAAUUACUGGGCGUAAAGCGUGCGUAGGCGGUUUUGUAAGUCUGAUGUGAAAUCCCCGGGCUCAACCUGGGAAUUGGGUUGGAGACUGCAAGGCUGGAGUCUGGCAGAGGGGGGUAGAAUUCCACGUGUAGCAGUGAAAUGCGUAGAGAUGUGGAGGAACACCGAUGGCGAAGGCAGCUCUCUGGCCUAUAACUGACGCUGAGGUGCGAAAGCGUGGGGAGCAAACGGG
rnacentral:rRNA from 1 species